UUUUCAUGCCAUUGUCCCCCAAAGCUUUCAUUUUCUCCUAUUUACCAAGCUAGAACCGUCCAUCCCACCUAAGUUAGCCGUCAUUCACUUUUUCUCUCACUUUGGUGCUUCUCCUCCUCUGUUGAUCAAUUCCUGCAUUGCUCCUCCUUUCUCUUCCAUUUUCUUCUUCUUUAAGCCACCAUUGCUCCUCUUUUCUCCACUUCUAUUCCACCUUCCACCACUAUUAGUUAAC
rnacentral:lncRNA from 1 species